UCCCACCUGAGAGCUGGACCUCAGCAACAACAAACCAGGAGACUCAGGAGUGAUGCAGCUCUCUACUCUACUGGAUGAUCCACGCUGUAAACUGGCAACGCUGAAACUAUCAGACUGUGGUCUUACAGAGGAAGGAUCUGAGGUCAAACCCCUCCCACCUGAGAGAGCUGGACCUCAGCUGCAAUAACCCAGGAGUCUCAGGAGUGAAGCUGCUCUCUGCUGUACUGGAGCAUCCAGUCUGUCAGCUGGAGAUACUGAAGCUUUGGCACUGUGCAAUCACAGAGGAAGGCUUUGCUUCUCUGGCUUCAGCUGUGAAGUCAACCCCCUCGCGCAUGUAGCUGCUGGAUCUGAAUGGGAAUGAUCCAGGAGAAUAAGGAGUGAAAUUGUUCUCAGCUCUACUGAAGGGUCCACAAUGUAGACUGCCCAAACUGAUAGUGACUGGAUUGGAAGAAACCCUUUGCUACAACGAGCCAGGAGCCUCAGCAGUGAUCAAAUGAACCUGUUGGAGCCGAUGGAAAUGACAUGACUGAAAUUCACCUCAAGUUCAAAUAUCCAUUUCUGAUGUAUUGUUUUGUAACACAUGUCAAAUGUUUUGUAUACUUGUGCAGCUACUUCGUUAAAAUGUAGAACUAUUAGGCCUA